UACGUAGGGUGCAGGCGUUAAUCGGAAUUACUGGGCGUAAAGCGUGCGCAGGCGGUUUUGUAAGUCUGUCGUGAAAUCCCCCGGGCUCAACCUGGGAAUUGCGAUGGAGACUGCAAGGCUAGAAUCUGGCAGAGGGGGGGUAGAAUUCCACGUGUAGCAGUGAAAUGCGUAGAGAUGUGGAGGAACACCGAUGGCGAAGGCAGCCCCCUGGGUCAAGAUUGACGCUCAUGCACGAAAGCGUGGGGAGCAAACAGG
rnacentral:rRNA from 1 species